rnacentral:tRNA from 1 species
GGCGUAGCUCAGUUGGUAGAGCAGCUGAUUUGUAAUCAGCCGGUCGGGGGUUCGACUCCUCUCGCC